rnacentral:precursor_RNA from 1 species
AUCAUACUGGCAGCUAGCUGAGUCAAUAUUUUCAGCAUGUUGGUUGUAAGCGAGCGUGCGACCGUGUUGCUGCAGGAGCUUCUAAUUGA